UACGUAGGGUGCGAGCGUUGUCCGGAAUUAUUGGGCGUAAAGGGCUCGUAGGCGGUUUGUCGCGUCGGGAGUGAAAUCCACUGGCUUAACUGGUGGCUUGCUUUCGAUACGGGCAGACUGGAGGUAUGCAGGGGAGAACGGAAUUCCUGGUGUAGCGGUGAAAUGCGCAGAUAUCAGGAGGAACACCGGUGGCGAAGGCGGGUCUCUGGGCCGAUACUGACGCUGGAGGAGCGAAAGCGUGGGGAGCGAACAGG
rnacentral:rRNA from 1 species